rnacentral:rRNA from 1 species
UUACACAUGCAAGUCGAGCGGCAGCGCGGGGGCAACCCUGGCGGCGAGCGGCGAACGGGUGAGUAAUACAUCGGAACGUGUCCAGUAGUGGGGGAUAACCAGUCGAAAGACUGGCUAAUACCGCAUACGAUCUACGGAUGAAAGCGGGGGAUCGCAAGACCUCGCGCUAUUGGAGCGGCCGAUGUCCGAUUAGCUAGUGGCGGGGUAACGGCCCACCAAGGCAACGAUCGGUAGCUGGUCUGAGAGGAUGAUCAGCCACACUGGAACUGAGACACGGUCCAGACUCCUACGGGAGGCAGCAGUGGGGAAUUUUGGACAAUGGGCGCAAGCCUGAUCCAGCCAUGCCGCGUGAGUGAAGAAGGCCUUCGGGUUGUAAAGCUCUUUCGGCGGGGACGAAACGGUCCGUGAUAACACCGCGGACUAAUGACGGUACUCGCAGAAGAAGCACCGGCUAACUACGUGCCAGCAGCCGCGGUAAUACGUAGGGUGCAGGCGUUAAUCGGAAUUACUGGGCGUAAAGCGUGCGCAGGCGGCUCCUUAAGUCAGAUGUGAAAGCCCCGGGCUUAACCUGGGAACUGCGUUUGAAACUGGGGAGCUAGAGUGUGGAAGAGGGGGGUGGAAUUCCAGGUGUAGCAGUGAAAUG